CCGCGUGUAUGAAGAAGGCCUUCGGGUUGUAAAGUACUUUCAGCGGGGAGGAAGGUGUUGUGGUUAAUAACCGCAGCAAUUGACGUUACCCGCAGAAGAAGCACCGGCUAACUCCGUGCCAGCAGCCGCGGUAAUACGGAGGGUGCAAGCGUUAAUCGGAAUUACUGGGCGUAAAGCGCACGCAGGCGGUCUGUUAAGUCAGAUGUGAAAUCCCCGGGCUCAACCUGGGAACUGCAUCUGAUACUGGCAGGCUUGAGUCUCGUAGAGGGGGGUAGAAUUC
rnacentral:rRNA from 1 species